AUGGCCUUCGCCCUAGGAGCCCCGUCGCCUACUACUGCUCCUCCACCACCUCGCCUCUUUCUCCUCCUCGCCUUCCCUUCGCUCGCCCGCAGGUCGCUGCCGUUGGAGAACACAGGAGUGCGGGUCUUCAAGUUGGGGUGGUCAGGAGGGCUGCCCAACCUGACGGCGCAUCCUCCUCCUCACAGCUUCGUCGCACGCGCACCUUCUUCUCCUCCCUCCUCCCUCCCUCGUCACUACUUCCACCAGUCCCCUCCCUCCCUCGUCCGUGGCCGCUGCUGCCGCACAAAUCUCCUAGGUCAGGGAAAGGAAGAAGGCCUUGGCGAGUCAGCAGGGGUGGGUGGAGCGGCUGAUGCGGAUGGGGUCGACGGUUGA
rnacentral:rRNA from 1 species